AAAUGUGCUAGGGCAUGCUCCGGCUGUCGCAGACUUGAAAAGGUCGUGCACGCGGGAGCGUGUCCUCUCACAUAACACAAUCCAUCUCACCCCUUUGUGCACCACCGCGUGGGCCCCCUUCGGGGGGCUCGCGUUUUCACACAAAACCCCCCUUUUAAAAGUGUAGAAUGACCUCUUUUUAUGAAAUCAAUACAACUUUCAACAACGGAUCUCUUGGCUCUCGCAUCGAUGAAGAACGCAGCAAAAUGCGAUACGUAAUGUGAAUUGCAGAAUUCAGUGAAUCAUCGAAUCUUUGAACGCACCUUGCGCCCCUUGGUAUUCCGAUGGGCACACCCGUUUGAGUGUCGUGAAAACCUCAACCUCCCUGGUUUCUUCUGGAGACCAAAGGAGGCUUGGACUUUGGAGGCCUUUGCUGGCGUCUCUGCCAGCUCCUCUCAAAUGAAUUAGUGGGGUCCUCUUUGCUGAUCCUUGACAUGUGAUAAGAUGCUUCCGUGUCUCGGUUUCUGGCUCUGUUGCUUUUGGGACCCGCUUCUAACCGUCUAGACCUCGCGUCGAGACAAUGUUCGA
rnacentral:misc_RNA from 1 species